rnacentral:rRNA from 1 species
UACGUAGGGUGCGAGCGUUGUCCGGAAUUAUUGGGCGUAAAGGGCUCGUAGGCGGUUUGUCGCGUCGGGAGUGAAAUCCACUGGCUUAACUGGUGGCUUGCUUUCGAUACGGGCAGACUGGAGGUAUGCAGGGGAGAACGGAAUUCCUGGUGUAGCGGUGAAAAUGCGUAGAUAUCGGGAGGAACACCUGUGGCGAAGGCGGCCCCCUGGUUGGAUACUGACGCUGAUACGCGAAAGCGUGGG